CCUCAACUUCCAGAACCUCUACUUCCAUCAGUCUUGCAGAGCAGGGAGCAGAUAACUGCCUUCCUGGGCAGGUAAUUGAUACAACUUCAAACGCUUUCUUGGGUCACUUAUAAUACUGACGAUCAGUACUGGACAGAUGCAUAUAAAAGUUGGCUACAGGAUCACCCCCAAAAGGAGAUUGAUCUAAAAAAGACGUGCGCCAAGAAUGAAUGGGCAAAAAGAGCCUUGAACUUCAGACCCUAUUCAAAUGAUGAUCCGAUUGAUGAACUUUUUUUGGUGCGAAACUUCAUAGCUCACUUCAAUCAAUGCAAGAGCAAAAGAUGUUCCUACUCCUCUAGAUACCUUCGACAAGGUUCAGAUUGGAGAGGUAGUGUUUGACCUCUUCCCCCACAUAGUUUCCAAUCUCUUUGACUUCAUGUACACAUGUGGAGUGUACAUGGAUUUCUUACAUGUCCGUACGUACUACAGCGACUAAGCAGCAGUUACAUCGUUUCGGAGUGGACAAGUAUUUGACAUAAUCCUUUCCGCAUCAUCAUCUAGUUUCUGUUCCAAGUUGAAAGGUCUGAUUCUGAGGAAUACUGUGUAAAAACUUAGGACCAAUCGCACUGUGUAAAUCAUUUUUCCCUGAAGUGUAAAGGACCACUUGCUUGAUGGUCUUAUUGGGAAAUGGUUGCCACUCUUUUGUUAAGACUUGAGAGAGAGAAGCUUCCUUUAGAACUCAUAUCUCACAUGCUGUGCUAAGCCACAGUCUAUUCUGUGUUCAUCACACUCUUAGACCUUCAAGCCAUUUUUUGUAUAUCUGUUUCACAGUCUUGAUCAUUUACCUUCAUUAAUUCUAUCAUACUAUGUCCUU